AGCCCAGAAUUCCUACAGAGGAAUGCAGUUCCUCAGCCAGCAGCACGUGUCACAGGAACCAAACAGCUUUACCCAAAACCUUCUAGAGUAAGCUGUUGCGGUUGCUGCGGCUGCUGAGCCACGAGCGUGGGCUGGUGGGGGAAUGGCUGUCCCACCAGGCUGUAGGCAGCAGGGUAGGUGGCUGAUGGAGAGGAGGAGCAGAAAUCUAAUCAAGGCCAGCCGGGGCCAGACAUCCCUGCCUCUCAUUACCUGAGGAGGGGGUGAUGGAUGCGAUCGGCGUGGCAAUGAUGCUGCUGGGGUUGAGGGCAGCGAGCUGCUGCAUCUGAACCGCCGCCACCGUGGCAACAGGAGAUAGCCUGCGUGUAGGCGUUGUAAGCCCCAAGGUGCAGGGUCAUGGGACUGAUGACUCCCAGCUGAGAGGCAACCUGCUGCAUUCGCCGGAGCCCUCGCUCCUUCUCCGAAUCGGCAAACUUCACCACCAGGCUGGACGAGGCACCCUGCGGAGGAAAUGGGGGGAGAAAAUUUUUAAUUCAUAACUGCAUCAUUCUGACACUUUUUCGUCAUCAGAAAGAAUAUGACCUCCGUGAGGUUAAAACAGGCGGGGACUCACUGGUAAAGUACGACUCCCAUGCAGUGCGUUUAUGGCGGCCUGGGCCUCUGCGUUGCUCUG